rnacentral:rRNA from 1 species
UACGUAGGGGGCUAGCGUUGUUCGGAAUCAUUGGGCGUAAAGCGCGUGUAGGCGGUCCGGUAAGUCCGCUGUGAAAGUCGAGGGCUCAACCCUCGAAUGCCGGUGGAUACUGUCGGGCUAGAGUGCGGAAGAGGCUAGUGGAAUUCCUGGUGUAGCGGUGAAAUGCGCAGAUAUCAGGAGGAACACCUAUUGCGAAGGCAGCUCGCUGGGACGUUACUGACGCUGAGACGCGAAAGCGUGGGGAGCAAACAGG